UNCACGUGUAGCAGUGAAAUGCGUAGAGAUGUGGAGGAAUACCGAUGGCGAAGGCAGCCUCCUGGGAUAACACUGACGUUCAUGCCCGAAAGCGUGGGUAGCAAACAGGAUUAGAUACCCCGGUAGUCCACGCCCUAAACGAUGUCGAUUAGCUGUUGGGCAGCAUGACUGCUUAGUAGCGAAGCUAACGCGUGAAAUCGACCGCCUGGGGAGUACGGUCGCAAGAUUAAAACUCAAAGGAAUUGACGGGGACCCGCACAAGCGGUGGAUGAUGUGGAUUAAUUCGAUGCAACGCGAAGAACCUUACCUGGUCUUGACAUGUGCGGAACCCUCCAGAGACGGAGGGGUGCCUUCGGGAGCCGUAACACAGGUGCUGCAUGGCUGUCGUCAGCUCGUGUCGUGAGAUGUUGGGUUAAGUCCCGCAACGAGCGCAACCCUUGUCAUUAGUUGCCAUCAUUAAGUUGGGCACUCUAAUGAGACUGCCGGUGACAAGCCGGAGGAAGGUGGGGAUGACGUCAAGUCCUCAUGGCCCUUAUGACCAGGGCUUCACACGUCAUACAAUGGUCGGUACAGAGGGUAGCCAAGCCGCGAGGUGGAGCCAAUCUCACAAAACCGAUCGUAGUCCGGAUUGCACUCUGCAACUCGAGUGCAUGAAGUCGGAAUCGCUAGUAAUCGCAGGUCAGCAUACUGCGGUGAAUACGUUCCCGGGUCUUGUACACACCGCCCGUCACACCAUGGGAGUGGGGGAUACCAGAAGUAGGUAG
rnacentral:rRNA from 1 species